rnacentral:rRNA from 1 species
CCCUUAGAUGUUCUGGGCUGCACGCGCGCUACACUGUCGGAUUCAGCGAGUCAUAUCCUUAACCGAAAGGUUUGGGUAAUCUUUUGAAAGUCCGACGUGAUGGGGAUUGAUCAUUGCAAUUAUUGAUCAUGAACGAGGAAUUCCUAGUAAGCGCGAGUCAUCAGCUCGCGUUGAUUACGUCCCUGCCCUUUGUACACACCGCCCGUCGCUACUACCGAUUGAAUGGUUUAGUGAGAUCUUCGGAUUGGCGCCUACGCGGCUUCUCUGAGGCCGCGCUGGAUGCCGAAAAGUUGCUCAAACUGUAUCAUUUAGAGGAAGUAAAAGUCGUAACA